rnacentral:rRNA from 1 species
CGUUCCCGGGCCUUGUACACACCGCCCGUCACACCACGAGAGUUUGUAACACCCGAAGUCGGUGGGGUAACCUUUUGGAGCCAGCCGCCGAAGGUGGGACAGAUGAUUGGGGUG